ACUAUAUGGGCUCUAUGCUUCAAACCGUCUGCCAUGUGGAAAUUUCUUGACAAUUUAACCUCAAAUCGGGUGGGACUACCCGCUGAACUUAUGCAUAUCAAUAAGCGGAGGAAAAGAAACUAACAAGGAUUCCCCUAGUAACGGCGAGUGAAGAGGGAAAAGCUCAAAUUUUAAAUCUGGUGUCUUUGACUCCCGAGUUGUAAUCUAGAGAAGUGUUUUCCGUGUCGGCCCGUGUACAAGUUCCCUGGAACGGGGCGUCAUAGAGGGUGAGAAUCCCGUAUAUGCCACGGACUACCGAUGCUCUGUGAUACACUCUCAACGAGUCGAGUUGUUUGGGAAUGCAGCUCAAAAUGGGUGGUAAAUUCCAUCUAAAGCUAAAUAUUGGCGAGAGACCGAUAGCGAACAAGUACCGUGAGGGAAAGAUGAAAAGCACUUUGGAAAGAGAGUGAAACAGUACGUGAAAUUGUUGAAAGGGAAGCGUUUGAAGUCAGUCGCAUCUGUUGGGGUUCAGCCUGGCUUUUACSAAGGUGUAUUUCCUUUCCGAUGGGUCAGCAUCAGUUUCGACCGAGGGAAAAAGACAUUUGGAAUGUGGCUGUCAACGAGCAGUGUUAUAGCCUUGUGUUGUAUGUCUCGGU
rnacentral:rRNA from 1 species